rnacentral:lncRNA from 1 species
UGUGAGCUGGGCAGGUUGGCCAGGGAAUAAGGAGGAGGAGACUGCUUACUUAGCAUCAGUCAAGGUGGAGGGGCCAUGGGCCAAGCCUGCCCCAAGGACAAACUCUCUCCUUAUUUGCCUCAUUCUGCUCUGAGUCAGAGGAAUGGCCCAAAUGACCUUGGAGCUCUGUGGCGUCAUCGCUUCUUGCAGCCUUCCCUGGAGAGCUGGCUCUCAAGCGAGCAUACCCAGCUGGAAGGCGGAAAGAAUUUUAAGCACAAGGAGCCGAGGCCUGCACUUGAGCAAAUGUCUUCUUUAGCCUACAUUUUCUUCCGAACACCCCAAG